rnacentral:lncRNA from 1 species
GGAACAGCAGGCAGGCUGUGAGCUUGAAGAGCUUCCUGGACUGAAUAAAAUUAAAAUGUGAAAUCUUCUAAACCAGAAAAAGAUAUUCUGUGAAGUUGUGCAAAAAAAGGGAAGCUCCUCAAGCUCCAGGCUAAUUGACAUGUACAUGGUGGCAAAACAAGGGUGAAGUACCUGUUUCUAUACUGCAGUCAAGGAGACGAAAGGAGAUAUGAAUUGAGGUAGAAUUUUUAAAAAAGCAAGCACAGACCCUAAA